rnacentral:snoRNA from 1 species
GGCCUCCUGAUGCUUUCCACAGGCUGUGUUCUUACACUGACUGUAUAGAAAGAGGAGACAAAGUAAACCUACCCAUAUACACAUCAGCCCUGGCUCUGUUCUUAGUCUGUAUUAUGAAUGAGGGAGACAAGG